rnacentral:rRNA from 1 species
GAUGAACGCUAGCGGCAGGCUUAAUACAUGCAAGUCAAGGGGGUAGCAAUACAACCGGCGCACGGGUGAGUAACGCGUACACAACAUACCAUAUACUGGGGUAGUAGCUUCGGGAAACUGAAGGUAAUCCCUCAUAAUAUUGCGGGAAGGCAUCUUUCUGCAAUUAAAGUUUCGACGGUAUAUGAUUGGUGUGCGUUUGAUUAGCUAGUUGGUAGGGUAACGGCCUACCAAGGCGACGAUCAAUAGCUGGCGUGAGAGCGCGACCAGCCACACUGGAACUGAGACACGGUCCAGACUCCUACGGGAGGCAGCAGUAGGGAAUAUUGGACAAUGGACGAAAGUCUGAACCAGCCAUGCCGCGUGGAGGAUGACUGCCCUCUGGGUUGUAAACUCCUUUUAUAUGGGAAGAAACCUCUGGAUUCACUCCAGAGCUGACGGUAUCAUAUGAAUAAGCACCGGCUAACUCCGUGCCAGCAGCCGCGGU